GUUUUCGGAUAAUCGCGGCUCGGUCGCAGAACCGGGCUGAGGAAAGUCCAUGCUCGCACAGGCUGAGAUGCUUGUAGUGUUCGUGCUUAACGAAAAAAUAAGUUAAGGUAUUCCCUAUAAGGGGAUAACGGCAGGAAAAACAGCUAAAACGUCAAGUCAUGCUGGAGUACCCUUGAAAGUGCCACAGUGACGAAGUCGAUUUAGAAAUAAAUCGAGUGGAACGGGUAAACCCCUCGAGCGAGCAACCCAAACAUAUGGUAGGGGCACCUUUCUCAAGGAACUGAACUUAGAGAAGGGACAGAGCAAUCUGUAGACAGAUGAUUAUCGUCAGCAUUUUUUGACCUGAGAAGUGCUGAUACAGAACAUGGCUUAUAGAA
rnacentral:RNase_P_RNA from 1 species